ACAGGUGCAACAUCGUCCCCUGACUCUUAUACUACAAUAAGACUGGUAAUCUGGGGCAGGAAGCCAUCCUAUGGUAUUAAAGAUGUAUCUAAAUUUGCAGUGGCUUUAUGUGAACUAGCAGGCCAUGUACCCUUUUAUUCUGAGGAGAAAUGGCCAACUGUAACUGAAGAUGAAUUAGUUCCUGCUAUAAAAGAUAUUUGUUCUGAUACAUAUGAGUAUUUGCUACCUAAAGUUAAAAAAUUGUUUAGCUAAGCUGAUUGUCAUUACUGGUAUAGUAAAUUAUGUUGUAUUUGUAUUUUUAAGGGUUAUAUGCAUUUUUUUUCACAUACGGUCUAAAAACUUAGAAUGGUUUUCUAUCCCAGUUGAAUGUCUUAGUUGCUUUUGUGAUUUUUGCUUCCAGAGAUAUACAGUAACUUUCAAUAACUUUUUUAUGUGGAGGAAUACUCAAAUUUUAAGUUGCUAUUCUUGUCACAUCAGAGGGAGAUAAGAGUUGUAAGAUGCAGAGUAGUUUUUUAAGAGAAGGCUGUUUA